GUCUUAAUAUGGUGUCACUUAUUUACUACAAUCAGCUAUCUAGUAUCUGCUUUGAUUUGUAUCACUAUUCAUUACUAUAAUAUUAUACCAUUAUUCAGUGGCAUUAUGGGGGGAUUGUUAGUGGUGUGGUAACACCUCCCUGGACUGUGUUUAUUUACUACAAUAAUAAAAUUGUGCAAGCUAAUUAUUUUAUAAUAGGAAACACCCCCAUAUAUAUAUGAAACUAUAUCACUAUGUAAAUUAUAUAACAAGGUUUGUAUUUUAUAAAAACUAUGAUGUAAAAGAUUGAUUAUUGAUAAAACCAUGACAAAAUAAAUAAACAAAUUUGAUGGAUUAAACGAACCAUCAUAAGGCUGUUUACAGAUACUAAAGUUGAAGGAAGACCUGUAUUGGAUCACAACAUUGAAUGUUUUUAUCAAAUACAAUAAAAAGUGGCAUCCUACCAGUGCCAUAGGCCAUAGCAGAUAAGCAAUAACAAUUAACAAAUAAAUAAAUACAAAUAUUAUUUAUUAUUUCUUUAGUUUAUUUUAAUAUACAUGAGGUUAUGAG